rnacentral:tRNA from 2 species
GGGGCGUUAACUCAGUGGUAGAGUGCCAUCUUCACACGGUGGAAGUCGUAGGUUCAAAUCCUACACGCCCCACCA